AGGAUAAACGCUGGCGGCGUGCCUAACACAUGCAAGUCGAACGUCUCUUCUUUCGGGAAGAGGAGUGGCGGACGGGUGAGGAACACGUGGGAACCUGCCCUUUAGUGAGGAAUACCGGCGAGAAAUCGCCGACAAGACCGCAUAGCCCUCUUUGAUGAGAGUCAAAGAAGGAAAGCUUCGCAAGAGGCGCUAGAGGAGGGGCCUGCGUCCGAUUAGCUAGUUGGUGGGGUAAGAGCCUACCAAGGCGUCGAUCGGUAGCUGGUCUGAGAGGACGAUCAGCCACACUGGGAUUGAGAACGGCCCAGACUCCUACGGGGGCAGCAGUGAGGAAUUUUCGGUAAUGGGGGAAACCCUGACCGAGCAACGCCGCGUGCAGGAAGACGGCCUUCGGGUUGUAAACUGCUUUUCGUCGGGGACGAGCAAGGACGGUACCCGAGGAAGAAGCCCCGGCUAACUACGCGCCAGCAGCCGC
rnacentral:rRNA from 1 species